CGGCCGCAGAGUUUGAUCAUGGCUCAGAUUGAACGCUGGCGGCAGGCCUAGCACAUGCAAGUCGAACGGUAGCACAGAGAGCUUGCUCUCGGGUGACGAGUGGCGGACGGGUGAGUAAUGUCUGGGAAACUGCCUGAUGGAGGGGGAUAACUACUGGAAACGGUAGCUAAUACCGCAUAACGUCGCAAGACCAAAGAGGGGGACCUUCGGGCCUCUUGCCAUCAGAUGUGCCCAGAUGGGAUUAGCUAGUAGGUGGGGUAACGGCUCACCUAGGCGACGAUCCCUAGCUGGUCUGAGAGGAUGACCAGCCACACUGGAACUGAGACACGGUCCAGACUCCUACGGGAGGCAGCAGUGGGGAAUAUUGCACAAUGGGCGCAAGCCUGAUGCAGCCAUGCCGCGUGUAUGAAGAAGGCCUUCGGGUUGUAAAGUACUUUCAGCGGGGAGGAAGGUGUUGUGGCUAAUAACCGCAGCAAUUGACGUUACCCGCAGAAGAAGCACCGGCUAACUCCGUGCCAGCAGCCGCGGUAAUACGGAGGGUGCAAGCGUUAAUCGGAAUUACUGGGCGUAAAGCGCACGCAGGCGGUCUGCCAAGUCGG
rnacentral:rRNA from 1 species